AAUCCUGUGGUGAGGGCAUCUACGAAGUUACUCCUUAAAUCUUUCCCAUGCCUCAUCUAGGGAUUCAUCAUCCAUCUACUGAAAAGUGACAAUCUCAUUUCGCAACU
rfam:Gossypium hirsutum cultivar TM-1 chromosome 20, whole genome shotgun sequence